CCUACGGGAGGCAGCAGUGGGGAAUUUUGCGCAAUGGGCGAAAGCCUGACGCAGCGACGCCGCGUGGAGGAUGAAGGCCUUCGGGUCGUAAACUCCUGUCUUGCGGGAAGAAAGGCAAGGGUGCUAAUACCACCUUUGUUUGACGGUACCGCAGGAGGAAGCACCGGCUAACUCCGUGCCAGCAGCCGCGGUAAUACGUAGGGUGCGAGCGUUAAUCGGAAUUACUGGGCGUAAAGCGUGCGCAGGCGGCUUUGUAAGAGGGAGGUGAAAUCCCUGGGCUUAACCGAGGAACUGCGUUCGGGACUGCAAAGCUAGAGUGCGGCAGAGGGGGGUGGAAUUCCUGGUGUAGCAGUAAAAUGCGUAGAUAUCGGGAGGAACACCAGUGGCGAAGGCGGCAUCCUGGCUCAUAACUGACGCUGAGUCGCGAAAGCGUGGGGAUCAAACAGGAUUAGAUCCCCGGGUAGU
rnacentral:rRNA from 1 species